rnacentral:lncRNA from 1 species
GGGGGAUUCUGGUCGGAAUGUUUUGUGUGGAGUAGUGGAUCAGAUGGAUCUAAUUGGUAUCCACGGGCAGCCAGUGUGUCGGUGUUGAAAGAGAAUCACACAACGUCCACCGGGUUCAGUUUCAUAUUUAUUCGAAUAUAAAUAAAAAUUUUAAUAUUCAAUAAAUAUCUGCAUCUAUAUUUAUAUUUAUCAAAUAAAAAUGAAUACGA